CCUACGGGAGGCAGCAGUGGGGAAUAUUGGACAAUGGGCGAAAGCCUGAUCCAGCAAUGCCGCGUGAGUGAUGAAGGCCUUAGGGUUGUAAAGCUCUUUUACCAGGGAUGAUAAUGACAGUACCUGGAGAAUAAGCUCCGGCUAACUCCGUGCCAGCAGCCGCGGUAAUACGGAGGGAGCUAGCGUUAUUCGGAAUUACUGGGCGUAAAGCGUACGUAGGCGGUUAUUCAAGUCAGAGGUGAAAGCCCGGGGCUCAACCCCGGAACUGCCUUUGAAACUAGAUAACUAGAGUCUUGGAGAGGUUAGUGGAAUUCCGAGUGUAGAGGUGAAAUUCGUAGAUAUUCGGAAGAACACCAGUGGCGAAGGCGACUAACUGGACAAGUACUGACGCUGAGGUACGAAAGCGUGGGGAGCAAACAGGAUUAGAUACCCUGGUAGUACCACGCCGUAAACGAUAGAUAACUAGCUGUCCGGGCACUUGGUGCCUGGUGGCGCAGCUAACGCAUUAAGUUAUCCGCCUGGGGAGUACGGUCGCAGAUUAAACUCAAAGGAAUUGACGG
rnacentral:rRNA from 1 species